rnacentral:rRNA from 1 species
CGGAUUGCAGUCUGCAACUCGAGUGCAUGAAGCUGGAAUCGCUAGUAAUCGCGGAUCAGAAUGCCGCGGUGAAUACGUUCCCGGGUCUUGUACACACCGCCCGUCACACCAUGGGAGUCGGGAAUGCCCGAAGCCGGUGGCCCAAUCGAAAGAAGGGAGCCGUCGAAGGCAGGCCGGAUGACUGGGGUGAAGUCGUAACAAGGUAAC